ensembl:antisense Gm13583 predicted gene 13583
CAGAGACUCGGGCCUGAGUUGCUCCUUGCGGACACUGAUUCUUUUCCUUGGGCUUCCUUCUAUGCUCACGUUGGGGCCUUACUGUAUGUGGGCUGAUGCUCAAACCGAUGCUGCAUUUAUCAGUUUGUACGCGUGUCGGGGGCUGUGUAACUUAUUUGUCAGUGGUUCAUGAAUAUUAUAGAGCCAUUGUUCAGCCUAGAGAAACGGAGGACCAGAAGGUACAAAUCCCAUCGCUGUCCACCCCACUGAGCCCCGCCUCCCCAAGGGGCGUAGCAGACAGGCCUGUUUGGGGGUUAUCUGUAGAAUGUAGAUCCAACUUCUCCCUUUGGAAGGUCCCGCAAGCCUGGAAGGCAAGACCCUGCCCCUUACCUCGCCCUAAUUUGGAGGACAAGAGGAUGUGCGGAAGAGACUGUCCCAUCUGCCCCGGGACAGUACACAAGCAACCACAAUACAAACUAGGCCUUGCUCUUACUUGUCUUGCUCAACUCCUACCCGUUUUCCGCCCCGAGUCCCGGGUGCCAAUCAGCCCCCAGUUCGGCGCUGCGGACACUCACCACGCCACUCGAGGGACGGUUCCUGGAUGUGAGUCAAAUCUUGGGCGAUGCCCUGGUGAAUCCCCAGCAGCAGCAGCUGUUGCAGCCAGAGCAGCUGCAGCAUCGCUAACCAUUGCACCAUCAGGCACGCUAGGUGACACCCACGGGAAUCAGAACCGUGUCCCCUGCUCUGGACUAGGCUGCAGGAGGCAAGAGAAGCUACCACUCUUCUUGAGGACCACGCCAUCCCAGAGCCCUGGAGAUGAACUCGCCUCCCUUGUCGCCA